rnacentral:rRNA from 1 species
GUCGGAAAUUACGAACUGCAGUUUAAAAUUCACAGAUUUUGGCGGUGUCUUAUAAAACCAGGGGAAGGCUGUCUCAUCAUAUUCGAUAGUCCACGACUAUCUAACCUCUCUCUGAUCCACACCCUGUGUACUGCCGUUGUAAGCAAACCCCUAAAAGUACAAAGUAUGCCCCAAUGAUUAAUUAGCUAUAGUUAACUCAUUUACAUCAGGUCAAAGUGCAGCUAAUAAAGAGGAGAUGAUGGGUUACAAUCUAAAAAAAGAAAUGAAUUCACAAGAUUAUUNAAUUUUUAUAAAAGUGGCACCUUGACUGUUAUUAAAAAAUAUUAUUNAAUUAAAUGAAUACCAUAUCUAAGACAUGCACACAUCGCCCGUCACUCCACCCUAAGGU